AUUGAACGCUGGCGGCAGGCCUAACACAUGCAAGUAGAGCGAGCGGCGGACGGGCGAGUAAUUUCUGGGAACCUGCCUGAUGGAGGGGGAUAACUACUGGAAACGGUAGCUACUACCGCAUACCAUCAGAUGUGCCCAGAUGGGAUUAGCUAGUCGUUUGGGUAACGGCUCACCUAGGCGACGACCCCUAGCUGGUCUGAGAGGAUGACCAGCAACACUGGAACGAAGACACGGUCCAGACUCCUCGGGGAGGCAGCAGAGGGGAAUUUUGCACAAGGGGCGCAAGCCUGAUGCAGCAAUGCCGCGUGUGUGAAGAGGGCCUUCGGGUGGUAAAGCACUUUCAGAGGGGAGGCGGUACCCGCAGAAGAAGCACCGGCUAACUCCGUGCCAGCAGCCGCGGUAAUUC
rnacentral:rRNA from 1 species